UUGGGCACUCUAAGGUGACUGCCGGUGACAAACCGGAGGAAGGUGGGGAUGACUUCAAAUCAUCAUGCCCCUUAUGACCUGGGCUACACACGUGCUACAAUGGACGGUACAAAGAGCUGCAAGACCGCGAGGUGGAGCUAAUCUCAUAAAACCGUUCUCACUUCGGAUUGUAGGCUGCAACUCGCCUACAUGAAUCUGGAAUCACUAGUAUUCGCGGAUCAGCAUGCCGCGGUGAAUACUUUCCCGGGCCUUGUACACACCGCCCGUCACUCCACGAAAGUUUGUAUCACCCGAACUCGGUGGGGUAACCUUUAUGGAGCCAACCGCCUAAGGUGGGACAGAUGAUUGGGGUGAAGUCGUAACAAGGUACCGUAUC
rnacentral:rRNA from 1 species